UGAGGAAUAUUGGUCAAUGGGCGGGAGCCUGAACCAGCCAAGCCGCGUGAGGGAAGAAGGCCCUAUGGGUCGUAAACCUCUUUUGUCAGGGAACAAAAGCGAGUAUGUAUAUUGGUCUGAGUGUACCUGAAGAAAAAGCAUCGGCUAACUCCGUGCCAGCAGCCGCGGUAAUACGGAGGAUGCGAGCGUUAUCCGGAUUUAUUGGGUUUAAAGGGUGCGUAGGCGGCGGUGCAAGUCAGCGGUAAAAGCCCGGGGGCUCAACCCCGGCGAGCCGUUGAAACUGCAGUGCUAGAGAAGGCGAGAGGUACGCGGAAUGCGCAGUGUAGCGGUGAAAUGCUUAGAUAUUGCGCAGAACUCCGAUUGCGAAGGCAGCGUACUGGCGCCUGACUGACGCUGAGGCACGAAAGCGUGGGGAUCGAACAGGAUUAGAUACC
rnacentral:rRNA from 1 species